CCCUUAGAUGUUCUGGGCCGCACACGCGCUACACUGAAGGAGGCAGCGUGUACUCCUGGAUCGAAAGAUUUGGGUAACCCGCGAAUCUCCUUCGUGCUAGGGAUUGAGGUUUGCAAUUAUCCUUCAUGAACGAGGAAUUCCCAGUAAGUGCAAGUCAUAAGCUUGCGCUGACUACGUCCCUGCCCUUUGUACACACCGCCCGUCGCACCUACCGAUUGAAUGGUCCGGUGAAGCCUCGGGAUUGUGGCCAGUUCACUUUAUUGGGAGUUGGCUGUGAGAACUUGUCUAAACCUUAUCAUUUAGAGGAAGGUGAAGUCGUAACA
rnacentral:rRNA from 1 species